GACGAACGCUGGCGGCGCGCUUAACACAUGCAAGUCGAGCGAGAACCAGACCUUCGGGUCUGGGGACAGCGGCGAACGGGUGAGUGACACGUGGGUAAUCAACCCUCGGUACUGGGAUAGCCCGGGGAAACCCGGAUUAAUACCGGAUGGCCCUUCGGAUCUUCGGUUCUGAAGGAAAAGGUAGCUUCGGCCUCCGACCGAGGACGAGCCCGCGGCGGAUUAGCUUGUUGGUGGGGUAACGGCCUACCAAGGCGGCGAUCCGUAGCUGGUCUGAGAGGACGAUCAGCCACACUGGGACUGGGACACGGCCCAGACUUCUACGGAAGGCAGCAGUGGGGAAUCUUGCGCUAAUGCGGGAAACCGUGACGCAGCGACGCCGCGUGAGGGAAGAAGGCCUUCGGGUUGUAAACCUCUUUCAGGAGGGACGAAGCUACUCGGGUUAAUAGCCCAGAGGGUGACGGUACCUUCAGAAGAAGCCCCGGCUAACUACGUGCCAGCCGCCGCCGUAA
rnacentral:rRNA from 1 species